rnacentral:rRNA from 1 species
AAUCAACGCUGGCGGCGUGCCUCAGACAUGCAAGUCGAACGAUUAAAGCUCUCUUCGGAGAGUGUAUAGAGUGGCGCACGGGUGAGUAACACGUAAGUAAUCUACCUUUGAGUGGGGAAUAACAGUCGGAAACGACUGCUAAUACCGCAUAAUGCAGCGGCAUCGCAAGAUGACAGUUGUUAAAGGAGCAAUCCGCUUAAAGAGGAGCUUGCGGCAGAUUAGCUAGUUGGUAAGGUAAUGGCUUACCAAGGCUACGAUCUGUAUCCGGUCUAAGAGGACGGUCGGACACACUGACACUGAAUAACGGGUCAGACUCCUACGGGAGGCAGCAGUCGGGAAUUUUGGGCAAUGGGCGAAAGCCUGACCCAGCAACGCCGCGUGAAGGAUGAAGUAUUUCGGUAUGUAAACUUCGAAAGAAUGGGAAGAAUAAAUGACGGUACCAUUUAUAAGGUCCGGCUAACUACGUGCCAGCAGCCGCGGUAAC